rnacentral:rRNA from 1 species
UACGAAGGGUGCUAGCGUUGUUCGGAAUGACUGGGCGUAAAGGGAGCGUAGGCGGUCCUAUAAGUCAAAUGUGAAAUUCCUGGGCUCAACCUGGGGACUGCAUAUGAUACUGUAGGACUAGAGAUCACGAGGGGAAAACGGAAUUGUGCGUGUAGAGGUGAAAUUCGUAGAUAUGCACAAGAACACCGGUGGCGAAGGCGGUUUUCUGGAGUGAUACUGACGCUAAGGCUCGAAAGCGUGGGGAGCAAACAGG